UAUAUUUCGGAAACUCUCGGAUCAGACAGCACUAAACAGUGUUUUAUCACAGAAUGCAAAAUACAAUAAUGUGGGGUUUAUUGUUCAUUGUUUCCAUUCAUGGAGUUUGGAGUGAGAUCAAACUGGACCAGUCCCCCUCUGAGGUGAAGAGACCUGGAGAGACAGUGAAGAUGUCCUGUAUUAUAUCUGGUUACAGCAUGACGAGCUAUAAUAUGCACUGGAUACGACAGAGGCCAGGGCAAGCUCUGGAGUGGAUUGGGUGGAUGAACACAGGUUCAAACUCUGCCAGCUAUGGCAGCUCCUUUCAAAGUCGUUUCCUUAUGACUGAAGAUGUGCCCAGCAGCACUCAGUACCUCGAGAUCAAGAGUCUGACUGCAGAAGAUUCUGCUGUUUAUUUCUGUGCUCGACAAGACACAGUGACUGAAGACAGUGGAGCAGCUGCACAAAAACCUCCACAGAGCAGCAGAACAGCAAUGUGAUCUUACUGACAUCUGAGUU